UGCAGUGCCGAAUGGAGGAGGCAGGAACCGGAGCAUGAGCAGUAGCUGGGUGGGCACCAUGGCUGGGAUCACCACCAUCGAGGCAGUGAAGCACAAGAUCCAGGUUCUGCUGCACCAGGCAGGUGAUGCAGAGGAGCGAGCUGAGUGCUUCCAGUGAGAAGCUGAGGGAGAAAGGCGGGCCCGGGAACAGGCUGAGGCUGAGGUGGCCUCCGUGAACGGUAGGAUCCAGCUGGUUGAAGAAGAGCUGGACUGUGCUCAGGAGCGCCUGGCCACUGCCCUGCAAAAGCUGGAAGAAGCAGGAAAAGCUGCUGAUGAGAGUGAGAGAGAUAUAAACGUUAUUGAAAUCUGGGUCUUAAAAGAUGAAGAAGAUGGAACUCCAGGAAAUCCAACUCAAUGAAGCUAAGCACAUUGCAGAAGAGGCAGAUAGGAAGUAUGAAGAGGUGGCUCAUAAGUUGGUGAUUAUUGAAGGAGACAUGGAAUGCACAGAGGAAUGAGCUGAGCUGGCAGAAUCCCAUUAUUGAGAGAUGGAUGAGCAGAUCAGACUGAUGGACCAGAACCUGAAGUGUCUGAGUGCAGCUGAAGAAAAGUACUCUCAAAAAGAAGACAAAUGUGAGGAAAAGAUGAAGAUUCUUACUGAUAAUCUCAAGGAGGCAGAGACCCGUGCUGAGUUUGCUGAGAGAUCGGUAGCCAAGCUGGAAAAGACAAUUGAUGACUUGGAAGAUAAACUGAAAUGCACCAAAGAGGAACACCUCUGUACACACAGGAUGCUGGACCAGACUCCGCUUGACCUGAAUGAGAUGUAGAAUGCCCCAGACCCACCCUGGUGCUGCUCCUCCCUCUGACCCUGACUCCACUUGAGGCCAGCCUGCCUGAAGCUGAGCUUUACCUCAGGGCUGAUCUUUAACUGGAAGGCUGCUUUCUCCUUUCGCCA